AAGGCGCCAUUGGAGGAGUCCGCGGCCGAUUAGCUAGUUGGUGGGGUAAGAGCUCACCAAGGCGACGAUCGGUAGCCGGCCUGAGAGGGCACACGGCCACUCUGGCACUGAAACACGGGCCAGACUCCUACGGGAGGCAGCAGUGGGGAAUCUUGCACAAUGGGGGAAACCCUGAUGCAGCGACGCCGCGUGAGUGAUGAAGCCCUUCGGGGUGUAAAGCUCUUUCGGCAGGGACGAUAAUGACGGUACCUGCAGAAGAAGCUGCGGCUAACUACGUGCCAGCAGCCGCGGUAAUACGUAGGCAGCAAGCGUUGUUCGGAAUUACUGGGCGUAAAGAGUGCGUAGGCGGUUUGGCAAGUUUGGUGUGAAAUCUCCCGGCUUAACUGGGAGGGUGCGCCGAAAACUGUCGAGCUAGAGUGUGGGAGAGGAAAGUGGAAUUCCUGGUGUAGCGGUGAAAUGCGUAGAUAUCAGGAGGAACACCUGCGGUGUAGACGGCUUUCUGGACCACUACUGACGCUGAGGCACGAAAGCGUGGGGAGCAAACAGGAUUAGAU
rnacentral:rRNA from 1 species